rnacentral:misc_RNA from 1 species
CGUAACAAGUUUCCGUAGGUGAACCUGCGAAGGAUCAUUAAAAAUGAGACCUGAUUCAAGGUCUAUUAAUAAUCCUACCCUUUGUGAAUUUGUUUUGUUUAAUAUGUGUCUUUCCCUGGUUUUUGAUGGAGCUUGUUUUAAAGCAAAAUCAAUCCAGGGGAAUGGCAAAACUUUUUUUAAAUUAAACUUUUGUAUUCAUUUGUCUAAAAUUAUUUUAUAAUAUAAAACAACUUUGACAAUGGAUCUCUUGGUUCUCGCAGCGAUGAAGAACGCAGCAAAAUGCGAUAAGUAGUGUGAAUUGCAGAAUACGUGAAUCAUCGAAUCUUCGAACGCAUAUUGCACUUUUUUGGUUUACCAAAAAGUAUGUCUGUUUGAGUAUCAGUAAAUAUUCUCAUAAAAACUAUUUGUUUUAUGGUUAUGAGUGUUUACAACGAUAACAAGUUGUUUCACUUUAAAUUCUUUGUCUUUUAAAAAAUCAUUAAAAACUGAUUUUUUUUAAAAUUGGAUAAAUUUCCCGUAAAAGGAAUAACCUAAACAAUUUAAAAUUAAAAUUGGUUUGAUUUUUCUUGAUCUAAAGGAAAAAAAAGUAAAAUUAACUUGAUCUCAAUCAGAUAGAGUACCCGCUGAACUUAAGCAUAUCAAUAAGCGGAGGAAAGAAACUAACUAGGAUUCCCUCAGUAACGGCGAGUGAAGCGGGAAGAGCUCAAAUUUGAAAUCUUCAAGGUUUACCUUGACGAAUUGUAGUUUAAAGAAGUGUUUUCUGUUGGAUUUUGGUAAAAGUUCUUGGAAAGACAUCAAGAGGGUGAGAAUCCCGUAUUUGACCAUAUUUCCAGCUUUGUGAUACACUUUCAAAGAGUCGGAUUGUUUGGGAAUGCAGUCCAAAAUGGGUGGUAAAUUUCAUCUAAGCUAAAUAUGGCGAGAGACCGAUAGCGAACAAGUACCGUGAGGGAAAGAUGAAAAGAACUUUGAAAAGAGAGUUAAACAGUACGUGAAAUUGUCAAAAGGGAAGCGUUUGACACCAGUGUUGUUUUCUCGAAAUCAAUUAAAAAGAUUGGAUUUGUGUUGUAUUGACUUUAUCAGCUUUCUGCACUUUUUUCUUGUCUUUUUUAAUGCACUUUUCGUUUAACAAGUCAACAUCAAUUUCUUUUGUUGUAAAAGGGUCAUUGGAAGGUGGCUUUCUUUUCGGAGAAAGUGUUUAUAGCCUUUGACUCUGCAAUCGGAGAGAUUGAGGUCUGCAGCGUAGAUCCUUCGGGGUUAGAUGCAUUUGUGCUAAGCUAUAGCCUUUCAUAGACAACUUGUUGACUAUGAUCAGUCAUGUAGCUUACUCGCUUAUGUCGUUUUACCUACGCUUAGGAUGUUG